rnacentral:rRNA from 1 species
UACGUAGGCAGCAAGCGUUGUUCGGAGUUACUGGGCGUAAAGGGUGUGUAGGCGGUUGGAUAAGUGUGGUGUGAAAUCUCCCGGCUUAACUGGGAGGGUGCGCUACAAACUGUCUGACUAGAGUGUGGGAUGGGUAAGUGGAAUUCCUGGUGUAGCGGUGAAAUGCGUAGAUAUCGGGAGGAACACCAGUGGCGAAGGCGAUCAUCUGGGGUUGUUCUGACACUGAGGAGCGAAAGCUAGGGGAGCAAACGGG